AUGUGUAAUACUACCCUCCUUAAUUUUGCCUGGGGCACCACCCUGCUUUCUUGGAUUACUGUCUUUCUCCUGGGAACAAGUUCAGCAAAUUCUGGGGUUGUCCAGUCUCCAAGACACAAAAUCAAAGAAAAGGGAGAAAGGUUCAUUCUGAAAGUUAUUCCCACCUCUCUGAACAUAGCCAUGCGGUCCGGUACCAACAGACUCGGGAUCAGGAACUAAAGUUCCUCAUUCAGAAUUAUGAAAAAGCUGAGGGAGAGAAAGGAAACCUGCCUGGUUGAUUUUUAAUCCAACAGUUCAACGACUUUUACUCUGAGAUUAACCUGAGUGCCUUGGACCUAGAGGACUUUACUGUGUACUUUUGUGCCAGCUCAC